UACGUAGGGUGCAAGCGUUGUCCGGAAUUAUUGGGCGUAAAGAGCUCGUAGGCGGUCUGUCGCGUCUGCUGUGAAAACCUGGGGCUUAACCCCGGGCCUGCAGUGGGUACGGGCAGACUAGAGUGCGGUAGGGGAGACUGGAAUUCCUGGUGUAGCGGUGGAAUGCGCAGAUAUCAGGAGGAACACCGGUGGCGAAGGCGGGUCUCUGGGCAGUAACUGACGCUGAGGAGCGAAAGCGUGGGGAGCGAACAGG
rnacentral:rRNA from 1 species